rnacentral:rRNA from 1 species
ACUCCUACGGGAGGCAGCAGUGGGGAAUAUUGGACAAUGGGCGCAAGCCUGAUCCAGCCAUGCCGCGUGAGUGAUGAAGGCCCUAGGGUUGUAAAGCUCUUUCACCGGUGAAGAUAAUGACGGUAACCGGAGAAGAAGCCCCGGCUAACUUCGUGCCAGCAGCCGCGGUAAUACGAAGGGGGCUCGCGUUGUUCGGAUUUACUGGGCGUAAAGCGCACGUAGGCGGACUAUUAAGUCAGGGGUGAAAUCCCGGGGCUCAACCCCGGAACUGCCUUUGAUACUGGUAGUCUUGAGUUCGAGAGAGGUGAGUGGAAUUCCGAGUGUAGAGGUGAAAUUCGUAGAUAUUCGGAGGAACACCAGUGGCGAAGGCGGCUCACUGGCUCGAUACUGACGCUGAGGUGCGAAAGCGUGGGGAGCAAACAGGAUUAGAUACCCUAGUAGUCCCAUGA